UUAUCCCUUGUUUCGUACAAAUAAUACAAUAAACAAAUGCCAAACAUACCUUUUCGUCUAAUCUCCUCAAUUUCUGUGUCUUGGUCGAUAAUUCUAUCUUUCUUUUGACCGCAACCUCAGACGCUAAACGUUAUAUUAUUAGCGUUGACAUCGAAACGCUGUAUUUGGUGGCCUUAUUCAAAUGCAUUUUUACUGCGAUCAAAGACGAAAUCGAAUAAAGUGCUUCGGUAGGAAUUUAGAUAAAGGCUAUAAAUUUAGUCCUACCAAAUAUUAUAAAAGGAUGGCCUUAAAAACAAAAGUUAUUCGAAGCCGAAAUUCAUCAAUUUUAACAUUUUGGCUUCGAUGCGCCAUUGUUUGCGAAAU
rnacentral:lncRNA from 1 species